rnacentral:rRNA from 1 species
UACGUAGGGACCAAGCGUUGUUCGGAUUUACUGGGCGUAAAGGGCGCGUAGGCGGCUUAUUAAGUUAGCUGUGAAAUCUCCGAGCUUAACUCGGAACUGUCAGCUGAUACUGAUGUGCUAGAGUGCAGAAAGGGCAAUCAGAAUUCUUGGUGUAGCGGUGAAAUGCGUAGAUAUCAAGAGGAAUACCUGAGGCGAAGGCGGGUUGCUAGGCUGACACUGACGCUGAGGCGCGAAAGCCAGGGGAGCAAACGGG